rnacentral:rRNA from 1 species
GACGAACGCUGGCGGCGUGCUUAACACAUGCAAGUCGAACGAUGAAGCUAGAGCUUGCUCUGGUGGAUUAGUGGCGAACGGGUGAGUAACACGUGAGUAACCUGCCCCGAACUCUGGGAUAACUGCUGGAAACGGUAGCUAAUACCGGAUAUGACCAAUGAAGGCAUCUUCCGUUGGUGGAAAGAAUUUCGGUUCGGGAUGGACUCGCGGCCUAUCAGCUUGUUGGUGAGGUAACGGCUCACCAAGGCGACGACGGGUAGCCGGCCUGAGAGGGUGAUCGGCCACACUGGGACUGAGACACGGCCCAGACUCCUACGGGAGGCAGCAGUGGGGAAUAUUGCACAAUGGGCGCAAGCCUGAUGCAGCAACGCCGCGUGGGGGACGACGGCCUUCGGGUUGUAAACCUCUUUUAGUAGGGAAGAAGCGAAAGUGACGGUACCUGCAGAAAAAGCACCGGCUAACUACGUGCCAGCAGCCGCGGUAA